UCGAGAAUUUUUCACAAUGGGCGCAAGCCUGAUGGAGCGACGCCGCGUGGGGGAUGAAUGGCUUCGGCCCGUAAACCCCUGUCAUUCGCGAUCAAACGUUGGUAUUUAAAAGAUGCCAGCCUGAUAGUAGCGGAAGAGGAAGGGACGGCUAACUCUGUGCCAGCAGCCGCGGUAAUACAGAGGUCCCGAGCGUUGUUCGGAUUCACUGGGCGUAAAGGGUGCGUAGGUGGUGAGGUAAGUCGGAUGUGAAAGCUCGGAGCUCAACUCCGAAAUGGCAUUGGAAACUACCUUGCUUGAGGAGUGGAAGGGGGACUGGAAUGCUUGGUGUAGCAGUGAAAUGCGUAGAUAUCAAGCGGCACACAAGUGGCGAAGGCGAGUCCCUGGACAACACCUGACACUGAGGCACGAAAGCUAGGGGAGCAAACA
rnacentral:rRNA from 1 species